ACAGAUCCUCCCUGCUUUGCUAGAAGUUUUAGAUGAUUUUGACAAUCCGAGGUUGCAGGUACUUCACAUCUUCUUCUCUGUAUCCUUUUUUAGCUACCACGUUUUAAGGUUGGCCUAAUUUUACAGAUAGUAUAAUUUACAUUCAGGUUUUGAACACUGUGAACUCCUAACUUUUCACACUUGUCCAUUGAAAAUACAUAUCAUUGCAUACUAAUGCUAUCUCAUUUAUAUAUAGAUACGUGCAACUUCAGGAAUACUGUUGUUCACUCGCAAUUGCAGUUCAGAUGUCUUGAAACCUUACCUGCAGAGAAUAGUGAGUAAAUUAGUUGUGUUUCUACAGGUAUGUCAUUUAUUCCAA
rnacentral:lncRNA from 1 species